rnacentral:misc_RNA from 1 species
UAAUCCUGUUACACUGGAACCAGCAGCUUCACAUAGGAACACGGUCAAUGAGCCCAUUAGUACACAUCCUCAGAGUCAGCAGCUUCGUGUAAUGGAAUGUGAUCAAAGGUCAGAACAAUCCAAGGGUUCUAAACUGGCUGAUGAUAAUGAGCAUGAGAAACAAGUCCAAGCUGGUGCCCUGCAUACGAGGGACAAUCAAGGCAAAGUUCAAAACGUUUCCACUAGGAGUUGUACCAAGGUUCACAAGCAGGGCAUUGCACUUGGAAGGUCUGUUGAUCUUACCAAAUUCAACAACUAUGAUGAGUUGAUUGCUGAAUUGGAUCGGUUG